rnacentral:lncRNA from 1 species
GUUUAAGUUGUUUACGUCGGAUGACAUGGUACUGGCCUAUCUCUAAAUGAAGUAUUUUUAAAUGACAUAGGUUUCUACUUUAAUAAGUGCAAAUUUUAUCAUUUGAUUUUGUCGUUUGAUUAAGGACUUUCCGUUUUGAAUUUUCCUCGGAGUAUAGUAUUUUUGUGAUUUUCCUUUUUAUAACGUCUGGGGUCCUUUUAAAGUAUUUCUGUCCUGAGCGAGUUGUUUCAGCAACUGUUAUUUAUUUUUGUUGCCUUCCAUCAAAAUGUUGACCACUUAAUUCUGGAACCAUGCAUCCAAAAAUGAUUGAUUGACAAAAUCGUCUAUUAAUCGUCUAUUCAAAAUCUUUUCCAACAACUUUCCCUUCUCAAAAUCAAAUCUACGUUUAUGAUUGAAGAUACAUUUUUCACAUUUUUGAAAAUGUCGGAACAAUGCUUGGUGUGUUCACUAUCAGAAUGAUAGUCUAUGCCCAAGAUGCCAAUUUGAGAUGGAACAGUAGUAUUGACUUUCCGGGAACUAGGUUGUUCUUUUGUAUACCAUGCUUAGACCAAUUUAACUGAACAUUUAAAUAGGAAAAAAAUAAGCAAUCAUUUUCAUACUGAACACCCAUAUAUAAAGUAAAAUAACAAAAAAUCCAAAAGUCUUUUAUGCGCCUGGUACAGGAAAAUUGGUACCGUUAAUGUUAUUACUACCACUGGGUCGAUGCCUCUGCUGGUGGACUGUUAGUCCCCGAGGGUAUCACCAGCCCAGUAGCCAGUACUUCGGUACUGGCAUGAACAUAUAGAUGUUUUGUGUUAUUAAAAUUUGCUGUAACAAAUGUUAGAAAUUAUUAUAAAUGAAGGAAUGUAUCUCCCUCAUGCAUAGCUCUGAUUCCUUUAACGGAUUUGGCUAUACUUUUUGGACCUUUUGGAUAAUAGCUCUUCAUCUUUUAUAUAAGCUUUGGAUUUCAAAUAUUGUG